AGCCAUGCGAGUUAAAUGUUCUUCGUGAACAUAGCAGACUGCUCAGUAACACGUGGAUAACCUGCCCUUAGGACUGGCAUAACCCCGGGAAACUGGGGAUAAGUCCGGAUAGAUCAUAAAUGCUGGAAUGCUUUAUGAUUGAAAGGUUUCGACCGCCUUAGGAUGGAUCUGCGGCCUAUCAGGUUGUAGUGGGUGUAAUGUACCUACUAGCCUACGACGGGUACGGGUUGUGGAAGCAAGAGCCCGGAGAUGGAUUCUGAGACAUGAAUCCAGGCCCUACGGGGCGCAGCAGGCGCGAAAACUUUACAAUGCGGGAAACCGUGAUAAGGGAACACUGAGUGCUAGCAUUUAUGUUAGCUGUCCACAUGUGUAAAUAGCAUGUGAUAGCAAGGGCUGGGCAAGACCGGUGCCAGCCGCCGCGGUAACACCGGCAGCCCGAGUGGUGAUCACUAUUAUUGGGUCUAAAGGGUCCGUAGCCGGUUUAAUCAGUCUUCUGGGAAAUCUAAUCGCUUAACUAUUAGGCUUCCAGGGGAUACUGUUAGACUUGGGACCGGGAGAGGUAAGAGGUACUGCAGGGGUAGGAGUGAAAUCUUGUAAUCCCUGUGAGACCACCAGUGGCGAAGGCGUCUUACCAGAACGGGUCCGACGGUGAGGGACGAAAGCUGGGGGCACGAACCGGAUUAGAUACCCGGGUAGUCCCAGCUGUAAACGAUGCUCGUUAGGUGUCAGGAACGGUGCGACUGUUUCUGGUGCCGAA
rnacentral:rRNA from 1 species